AUGUCAAUGUUGACUGCUCCAAGUACAAUUGUUAGCUCGCCUCUAUUGCCAACAGGUAUUUUAUGAGUACCCAUUGCUAAGUUUCUGUGAUUUUUUUAAGAUAAUAAUACUAAUGAUUGAUUUGAUUGGAAGCUACAGAUUUUGAAAUGAGGUAUUUCUUCCAUCAGUUUGUGUUUUCAUUGUUUACCGACUUCCUUGCCUUCGUCUUUUUCAUCGCUAUGAUCUUCCUCUUAUCUUCCAAGGUGCUCACUUUUCGACUCACUUGGGUUCUAUCAGGAAGGGGAUUGAAUCUCACAUAUUAG
rnacentral:lncRNA from 1 species